rnacentral:lncRNA from 1 species
UUUUUUUAAACUUUACAAAUGUAAGAGUACCAGUUACAUAUAAAAGGUUACCAGAUGAGAUCAAAGGUCUAGCUUACUGAAUAACUGCUCAGUCUGUGAAGGGUUUCAAGAGUGAAUAACAUUAAAUAAAGUACUAAACAGCAUUUCCAGUAAUUCCUUGUGGAUUUUUCUUCCAUCAAUUUGUCUGAUUAAUACCGUGUGAAGAAUCACUUUCCAAAGUGAGUCUGAACCUUAUCCAACAGAAGCUGUGGGGGUUGUGAGCUACAGCCUGCAGCUGGCAGCAUUUAUAGCUUAGAUAUCUCCCAAAAGUUGUUUGUCUCAUGUCAAGGCGUAACAGAAUGCAGAAGUGACUGAUGAGGGUCCAGAGGGGAAGCCGUCUAAAAACUGAUAGCUGAGUGAUAUAGUAUGGGUGUAGU